CACACGCUUCAUUUUUUCUCUCUCUUCAUUAGAUUUUCUCUCUCUUCCUCCCAGUUCUCUAAAGAUGCGAUUUUUUUCUCCGUUCUUCUAUUUCUUCGCUUUUCAAUUUCUUUGCCUUUGCUCAUCAAUUUCUCGCGAUAAUCUAUUAAGUUCUUAGAGUUGAGAGAAACGGGAAGCUAAUGUGAGCAAGAGUGCAGCCUGUGCACCUUGUAAGCUUGUGAGGAGCAGCAGAAGCAUGAGUAGCCCAAAGCAACAACAUAGGCAUAGUAUAGUAGCAAGUACUGCAGCAGCUCUGCAAAAGGCCCCUAGGCUUUGGCAUCAAGGCCUUGGACAUGCAGCAGCAGAAACAACAUGCAUAGCAGCAGCACAAGCACUGGUUUGAUGAGAGAGAGUGUGCAGCGAAAAGCCUAAAUAUGGUCGGAAGGAGAUGCAUUUUCUGUAAUUAAGCUUUUAUUAUUUACUUUUGAGUAUUUUUAUUUACUUUUGUGAUUUUUUAGUAUAAAGAAAAUAAAAAUGAUCGAUUGUGUUAGCUAAUUAUUCUUACUCUAUGAUAGCCUACUAGCUCAAUAGGUAGAGCAUUGUGCAAGUGGACAAAAAAUGUGGGUUCGAAUACCAUGUAGGUUUAUGUGUGUAUUCUGAAGAUUAGAAGUCGUAAUGUUUUAUUAAAUUUCUUCUUCUUUU